ensembl:lncRNA
AGUCUGAGUCCUUGCUGGGAUAAUACCUUUGAUACAUUUCUUUUCUCCUCACAACAUGAAAGACAUAAUGGAGACUCAUCAUUAAUAAUAAUGUUUGCUGUCAGAUUCUGGCCGACCGACUCCUUUCAUCAGAAUCAGGAGUGGGGAGAAAUUCACAUCUUUGCCUUGUGUCUGGUUUGAGGGUCUAUCAUGGAAUAGCUGUUUCAUUCAUUGGUGGGGUUUUUUUGUUGUUAGUUUUUCACAAGUUCAUGCAGAGUUCACCACAGGGCUGGCGAGAUGGUGCAACCAGAGAAGGUGCUAGCUUCUCCUUGACCUAAGCCUGACAACCUGAGCCAAAUCUGAGGAAUCACACAGAGUUGUCCUCUGACCUUCCCGUGGGCACUGGAGCAGGUGCCCCCACACAUGCAUACAAGAAUAACAAGAAUAAUUUUUUAAAACCGACAUCAAGUUUUUUUUUUUUUAAGAAAAGGUUUUUUUCCCCAAUAAAAACUGAUAGGAUGGGUUGAUUUCUAUUGUUGCUUGCUUCGUAGCUUUAAAAAGUCAUAUUACUGAGUCAUGCUUAGUCACUCAUUCAGAGCCUCGUUAAGCUAAUUAGAUACAA